CUGCCGGCGAGCGCUAGGACAGAGAGCUGUUUCUCUACUGGUGACACCGCCACGCACGUCACCGGACAUGACGUCAAGGAUAGCGUCACGGUCACGUGGGUCCCGCCAGCCAAUCUGCACGGGCCUGUGGCACUGACGGCCACGAUAGUUGCGCAGUUUUCUACCUUCUGGGUCGGUGUCACCGCUACUGUGCACCAAGGAGCCAAUCAUUUGAUCACUGGCUGAGCCGGAGUAGAACUAGUGAUUUGAUUUUCUACAGCGCAGCGUGGAACUUGAAAACAAUUAUUAUUAAAAAUCAUCGGCGAGAACAUGAA